rnacentral:rRNA from 1 species
AUUGAACGCUGGCGGCAUGCUUUACACAUGCAAGUCGAACGGUAACAGGCCGCAAGGUGCUAACGAGUGGCGAACGGGUGAGUAAUGCAUCGGAACGUGCCCAGUCGUGGGGGAUAACGCAGCGAAAGCUGCGCUAAUACCGCAUACGAUCUAUGGAUGAAAGCGGGGGACCGAAAGGCCUCGCGCGAUUGGAGCGGCCGAUGUCAGAUUAGGUAGUUGGUGGGGUAAAGGCCCACCAAGCCAACGAUCUGUAGCUGGUCUGAGAGGACGACCAGCCACACUGGGACUGAGACACGGCCCAGACUCCUACGGGAGGCAGCAGUGGGGAAUUUUGGACAAUGGGCGCAAGCCUGAUCCAGCAAUGCCGCGUGCAGGAAGAAGGCCUUCGGGUUGUAAACUGCUUUUGUACGGAACGAAACGGUCCGGGUUAAUACCCUGGGCUAAUGACGGUACCGUAAGAAUAAGCACCGGCUAACUACGUGCCAGCCGCCGCCGUAAAAC